rnacentral:rRNA from 1 species
GACGAACGCUGGCGGCGUGCCUAAUACAUGCAAGUCGAGCGCAGGAAGCUCACGGAACUCUUCGGAGGGAAGUGAAGGGAAUGAGCGGCGGACGGGUGAGUAACACGUAAGGAACCUGCCCCAAGGAUUGGGAUAACUCCGAGAAAUCGGAGCUAAUACCGAAUAGUUCUUCAGACCGCAUGGUCUGAUGAUGAAAGGCGCUUCGGCGUCACCUUGGGAUGGCCGUGCGGUGCAUUAGCUAGUUGGUGGGGUAAUGGCCAACCAAGGCGACGAUGCAUAGCCGACCUGAGAGGGUGAUCGGCCACACUGGGACUGAGACACGGCCCAGACUCCUACGGGAGGCAGCAGUAGGGAAUCUUCCACAAUGGACGAAAGUCUGAUGGAGCAACGCCGCGUGAGUGAUGAAGGUUUUCGGAUCGUAAAACUCUGUUGUAAGGGAAGAACAGGUAUGAGAGGUAAUGCUCAUGCUAUGACGGUACCUUACGAGAAAGCCACGGCUAACUACGUGCCAGCAGCCGCCGUAAUAC